GAUUCACACACAUAGCAGACGCUAACACAUCAAGCGUCAUCAAUAGCGUGGUCUGUGGAUGCUAUCGCUGGAGUAAGGCGUUUACCUUCAAUUCGGGUAGCGUCAUGAUUGGCCUACCCUGAUGGCGUCAUGAUCGCUGCUGAUUGCCUUUCAAAUAGGUUUUCAGCAUUCUGCUUACACCUUUGGCAUAGAGUCACAUAUUUCACAAUCCAACAUCAAUUGGUACCAACAGCAGCCCUUCUCUCCAUCAUCCAGAAGGGUCUGAGAUCAGUGUUAGAGAUGAUGGUUCGGAACAACCCAUGGAAAGCUUAUCACUCAUUGAUGCUGUGAUGCCUGAUGUUGUUGCAAGUCGUUAACAGCAAACACAGAACAAUCAGAAACCAAAGUGGUAAGACAGAACCACCAAAUUCCAAUGGAGAUGAACCCAUGCAUUCCUAUCGUUGGGAAGAGGAAACAGGAGUAGAGAUACCUGCCAGCAAAUCAACUGUACUUCGUGGCCAUGAAUCUGAAGUUUUCAUCUGCGCCUGAACCCAACAACUGAUUUAUUGGCUUCUGGCUCUUGGAUUGUGAUUCUUCUGAAGGUACCAUCAAAGAGAGAGAAAGACAUCAGAUGAAUAUCGAGUUUAAUAAUACCAUAUAACAUCAGACCACUUAAAAAUCAUAAUUGGGGGAAAUUUCAAAAAAUAAAACACGUGGUAGACAACUGA